AUCGCCUCGGUCGAUCGUUUUCUCGAAUAGCUCAUCGUCGUUGCACUGUCCUUCUUCUUCUUCUUCCUCCUCAGUCCAGAUAACAAGCUCUUGAUCCCUGACUUCUUCUUCGAAUCCGACUUCGGUUUGCCACGCCUACCUCCGCCGCAGCAGCAGGAAAGCCACGACGGCCAGCAGUCGCAUGUCAUCUUCUUUCGUUUUUCAGACACGGGUGGUUCGUAUCCGUACAGUGCUGGUCUGUUGAAUACACAUCCUGUUCCC
rnacentral:lncRNA from 1 species